UCCGGAAUUCUUUCUGUAUUU
rnacentral:piRNA from 1 species